CAUGCGUGUGCUGGAUGUUGUGUCAACGCCAGCGCCACCAACUGCUUUAACACCUGCCCACGAGAAGCAGCUCUCUCUCCGAGGCUCGCGGCCGCUGCUUCUUCCAGAUGUCCAUGGUGAACAGUGUGGAGCUGCUGUUGAAGAUGGAGCAAUUGCAGAAAGCCUAUUGAGCCGUUAAAAAAAACUUGCUGCCGGCCAGACUUUGAAGACCUGUGACACAACAUGAGUGCUCCUCUCACCACUUGGCAUGAGCUCAAUGACCAGCUUGGGGAAGGCGAUGUUGGAGCAUCCCACCUCGGCUCCACACACUCGCACACACUCCUCCGGGUCCACGCAUCCCACCGUGUCUGAAAAGCACCCUUGUUCGCCCCCUGGGAGGUGAGGUGAGCAGUGAGCAGCAGCGGUGGCCACGCCCAGGAAUCAUUAUUGCCGAUUUAACCCCCAAUUCCAACCCUUGAUGCUGAGUGCCAAGCAGGAAGGACAUCUGCUGAUUGGAGUAAGCGUUGCUGUGGUUUGUCCACAAAUUGGAAGUUGCUGGCAGUCUUCAAAGUACCCCAAAAGCUGCCACAAAUGAUUGGAGGAUGCGGGAGGAACUGUAGAUUACAUUGGACUGUCUACCCCGCAGUUUUUGAGGACCAGAUAUAGACAAUUUAGAGUGAAAAGCAAAUUUUAUUUUCACCCGCAUACAAAACAUUCGAACUUGGAUUGUUUCCCUGGCUUCGAGACUCUUCCAAAGGACAGUGCGGCGAACACACAACAAACUCCCUUCUUGUCUCUCAUGGACACACACCUGACUGCACGACAUCAAGGCCGCAGAACAGAGACACACUACGGGCUUACACACACACAUAUCCAAAAAAAUAUACGCCACACAUACACACUCCACCCCCCCAACCCAACGCCCUCAACGCAAAUCCCAUAGGGGUUAUAAAUGGAUAAGCAGCGCCUGAGAGCUGCGGCAUACCAUCAUGACCCCGAACUACCUUCCCUCUGUUGCUAGAUAUCUGGAGAUGUACGUUGUAAUAUGUAUAAGUGCUUUGCUAUGGAGGUUUUUUUUCCCCACUCCAGACUGGGCCCCCUUAGGAUCCCAGUCUACAUUGUAUUUUUUUACUUAUCCUUCCCCAGCGUUUACCUUUUUCCCAUCUUUUACAGGGCACCUUGUGGCGACCCAUCAGUGUUUCUGUUGUGUAACCUUGUACACUGUUUGUUUUUGUCUAAUCUUGAACUGGUUUGUUCUGAAAACAUAGUUUCGUUGUACUUGUGCAAUGACAAUAAAGACCUAU